CCUAUCCUUAUGCAAAAGCUGAGACAGCAACCACCUGUUGGAUGAUUUACAGGCUCUAAGAAGGCCCCUCAGCCCUCAAAUAUUCCCACCCCAACCUGCCACUGGGCUGGGAUUUCCACCAAGAGAGAAAUAACCCUCAGCUUUCAAGCCUUGCCUCUCCACAAGACCUCUGUGAAAAUGUCAACAUGGCAGCACGUUCAAACAUUAUCCAUCAUUUUGGCUCCAGAUGGAAUUAAUUUAUCAGACUACUUUCUACUAUGACAGCCAGCCUCAGGAGCCAUGAAGAAGCUGUGUUUGGAAAAGGGGACUGCAAGAAGCAGAUUGGGGUUUUUCUGAGCCUGCUAUUGAACACGUGAGGAACCUGGGUCUCAAGCAUUUCAUCGUGGCUAACAGAAGAAUCUCUGAAGCCACAGUACCUGGACUCCAGCUCCAGGGCCACUUACCAGCCAUUUGACUUUGGGUACCAGGAGUUAGGAUUUCAAUACAGUGGACACAAUCGAACCCACAAGAGCCUCCCAGAUGGUUUCCAAUGCCAUCUCAGACUCCAACUGCCCUCUUUUCCACCCAGCAUAGAAAGCUUCUGAGCUCCUUCCUCUCCAUUCAAGACAAACUUUCCGCAGUCCACAGUUUAUUAAAACAUGGGGUGAGUUCAUGGAAGUUUUUGGCACAGUUUGGCCAUCUCUCCAAGAGCAAAUUCAGCUUUCUAGCACAAAAGCCACAAGCACAGGGGGUACUGUUCCUCGUUUUCAUUUCAAGCUGCUUAAGUGAUCAUUUAUGGCAGGA
rnacentral:lncRNA from 1 species